rfam:Triticum aestivum genome assembly, contig: Triticum_aestivum_CS42_TGACv1_scaffold_457586_5DS
GUAGUACUCCCUCCGUUUCAAAUUACUCGUCGCAGAAAUGGAUGUAUCUAGAACUAAAAUACAUCUAGAUACAUCUAUACCUGCGACAAGUAAUUCGGAAUGGAGGGAGUAGUAG